UUCCUCCUCUUCCUCCUCCAGCUCCAACUGCAGUGGCAAGGUCUGGGGAUUGAGAGGCCCGGCAUGACUAAGAGAUAUCGUGAAAUUACAACUCAACAAUGAAUUACAGCACAGGCUUUUCACAACUAAGAGACUGUCCAUCAUGGUGCCAGUUUUUCUCAAAAUGGCAUGUGUGCAUGAAAUUCUACAGGCAUAUGGGGUCGUGAUCUGCUAAUCUCCAGUUAUUAUACAAAACUACAGAUACUUGAAAACAGAACCAAAUAAAAAUUCUAGCAGAAGAAGACAAUAUAUGAAAUUUAAUAAUUCAUUUCCUGGGAAUGACAGCAGAAAGGUGAUGACAGAGGAAAGAGCCAAUAAAAUUUGAAGACAGACUACUUUGAAAAGGGACUUUCCAGCUAUCAGUACACUAUCUCACAAUUACCCUUGAACCAGAAGACAAUGAAUGAUUUGCUAAACAGAUGGCAUAGUCUAUGACAUGCAUCAUAUGUGUGAGCAAUCACAGAAGGUAUGACUUUUCUCAUGAAAUAUUUUCAGACAAAUAUUUUAAGUUAAUCUAACAUUCACUAAAUCUACCUACUGAUUUUAGGUAGAUUUUCUUUCUCCAAAUAUACAUUUUUAAAUAAAAAUUUUCAUUGUAUUGCAUUGUAUUUUAUUGGUUAUCAACAGCACCAUGUUCUUAGUUUUUUUAAAAAAAAUGUUUAAUGAGUUGUAAUAUUUGUGUCUUUAAGCAAGGGGUUCCCUCAUUUUUCCUGUCUUUUCUGGCUUGAUUUGAAGUUAUUCCUGGGUAUCAAUAUUCUACACACAUUGUCUACUGCUUACCUCCAACACAGCAGUUUUCACUGUCAUGUAAUUAUUUGUUUGCUCAUCGCUCUUCCCCAUGACCAUCAACUCCUUGAAGGUAGGGCCAUUAUUUAUACAUCUUAUAACUGAAGCUUACAGCAUCAGAUCAGUUAUAUGAUCAGAACACAAUGUUUGUUGUAGAAUAAAUGAAUAAACUUUGUUAAUUCACUCAGGUCUAACUAGUCUCCUACAUGAUGAAAUAUAGCUAAGAAAAUUCAAAGUAGAGUUCCACAAAAGAAAAACAAAGUAAAUAUCAAUUUAUUAAUUUAUAAUUUGAUCCAAAGACCAAUUUCCAAGAGGCUCUCUCAGGUACCAAAUUGCUGAAGUCCUUUUCUAGGACAUCUCCCUUCCUGGUGUCAAAGUACGUGGAAAACUGAAGCUUUAAGCAAAAGAUGGCUUGGGUAUAUAUUUAACCUAGCUUCUGUUGAAGCAUCACUAGUCUGCAAAUACCACAUUUCUCUAGUGACCAUCUUCAUGUCUCUGAGCCUUAAAGAAUACUGGUUAAAACACUAACAGAUAUUAUGUUUCUGAAUAUGUGCUUUAUUUGCUAGUUAUCCUAUUUCUAAUGACAUAUUCAGUAGAUUUGUUUAUGUUGUAAAAUGAAGUGCUAUCAAUUUAUUGUUAUCAUGAACAGUCAGAAUAAAUAUUGAAACCUCUUAUUUGGGCAAAAA
rnacentral:lncRNA from 1 species